rnacentral:rRNA from 1 species
CCAUCUAGUGGCGGACGGGUGAGUAACACGUAGGUAACCUACCUUCGAGACUGGGAUAACAGUUGGAAACGACUGCUAAUACCGAAUGACGUCGGAGAACCGCAUGGUUCACUGACGAAAGGAAAUCCGGUUUGGGAGGGUCUCGCGGCCUAUCAGCUUGUUGGUGGGGUAAUGGCCUACCAAGGCAACGACGGGUAGCUGGUCUGAGAGGAUGAUCAGCCACACUGGGACUGAGACACGGCCCAGACUCC